UUGACAGCAAGAAGUUUGAUACAGGUAUAUUCUACUUAUCCCUUCCAUUUAAUGUUCUGCAGUGCCCGCAUGUAAAUUUGCAAACCUUCCUCUUUCUUAAACAAAUUUUCCAUUAUAAAAAAUGGUGCUUGUCUCUGCUGCAUGCUUGGGAUGAGGAGAUCAUAAUUCAGUUAUUGUUGAUUGAUCUUCUUCCUUUUUCUGUUACCUUUAUUGCUUUUAUGUUCUUUUGUUGGUGAGAAGGGAGAUGGGGGAAGGGAUUGUGCCUGUUCGGAAUUUGUCGUAUUUAUAUUGUUUACUUAAUUCUGUAAAUUUCACUGUGCAGCAAAGAAUUUCGGAGUAACUG
rnacentral:misc_RNA from 1 species